CACGUAGGGCGCAAGCGUUGUCCGGAAUUAUUGGGCGUAAAGAGCUCGUAGGCGGUCUGUUGCGUCCGCUGUGAAAACUCGGGGCUUAACCCCGAGCCUGCAGUGGAUACGGGCAGACUAGAGGUAGGUAGGGGAGAAUGGAAUUCCCGGUGUAGCGGUGAAAUGCGCAGAUAUCGGGAGGAACACCGGUGGCGAAGGCGGUUCUCUGGACCGGUACUGACGCUGAGACGCGAAAGCCAGGGAGACAAACGGGAUU
rnacentral:rRNA from 1 species